UACGUAGGGGGCGAGCGUUGUCCGGAGUUACUGGGCGUAAAGGGCAUGCAGGCGGUCCGACACGUUUUGUGUGACAGCGGGUGGCUUAACUACCCGAGGAUGCGAAAGACGGCGGCACUUGAGGGCCAGAGAGGGACACGGAAUUCCGGGUGGAGUGGUGGAAUGCGUAGAGAUCCGGAGGAACACCGGUGGCGAAGGCGGCCUGCUGGGCAGUUGCUGACACUGAGGCGCGACAGCGUGGGGAGCAAACAGG
rnacentral:rRNA from 1 species